rnacentral:misc_RNA from 1 species
GGAAUCUUUGAACCAAUUGAGAUACCACCUGCUGUCAUCCCUCAUUAUCCUUUCCCCGGGAAAUCAUUGCCGCCAAUGUACCCUUCCUUUCCGAAGACAUAUGACCCUGUCUUGACUGGAAGAUGCCCUGUAAAUUUUUCUGUCAUUUCAAGCAUCACAGAAAAAACAGCAUCUGAUUGUACUCGAUCUUUGUCAAUGAUAGUUGGAAAUGUAAUAUGCUGUCCACAGUUCAAUAGCUUACUCCACAUAUUCCAGGGAUUUUACAGCAACCGUUCUGAUACUUUAGUUUUACAAAGUGCAGUAGCUGAUGAUUGUUUUAGAGAUAUCAUCAGUAUAUUAACUAGUAAAGGAGCAAACAGCUCCAUUGCUGGUCUGUGCUCUGUGAAGUCGUCAAAUCUAACUGGUGGGUCUUGCCCUGUGAAGGACAUUGGUACUU